UAGCGUAGACAGCAAGCGUUGUUCGGAGUUACUGGGCGUAAAGGGUGCGUAGGCGGCUUUUUAAGUUUGGUGUGAAAUCUCCCGGCUCAACUGGGAGGGUGCGCCGAAUACUGAGAGGCUAGAGUGGCGGGAGAGGAAAGUGGAAUUCCUGGUGUAGCGGUGAAAUGCGCAGAUAUCAGGAGGAACACCGGUGGCGAAGGCGGUUCUCUGGGCAUGUCCUGACGUGAGGAGCGAAAGUGUGGGGAGGCGAAACAGG
rnacentral:rRNA from 1 species